rnacentral:rRNA from 1 species
AUGAGUCUUGGUAAUCUGUACUGUAAUCCUCUAAUGGUUCAUGGAGGUCACAAGAUCACCGCGAGGCAGCGAUGGACACCAACCCAGAUGCAGCUGCAGAUCCUCGAGAGCAUCUUCGACCAAUGUAAUGGAACACCAAGCAAGCAGAAGAUAAAAGACAUCACAGCGGAGCUCUCGCAGCACGGCCAGAUCUUGGAGACCAACGUCUACAACUGGUUCCAGAACAGACGUGCACGCUCGAAGCGGAAGCAGGCAGCUUCUUCUCUACCAAAUAACGCCGAAUCCGAAGCCGAGGGGGAUGAGGAGUCCCUGACCGACAAGAAUCCUAGAUCAGACGGGUCACAGCAGGAGAACAUGGCUGUGAGAGCUCACAACCCUGAGAGGAUCUCAGAGAUGCACCGCCACUUCGACGCAGCAGAGCGUGAGCAGGUCCGUGGUCCGUGGUCCAGCAACGACGCCUCAAGGUCGUAG